rnacentral:rRNA from 1 species
GACGAACGCUGGCGGCGUGCCUAAUACAUGCAAGUAGAACGCUGAAGGAGGAGCUUGCUUCUCCGGAUGAGUUGCGAACGGGUGAGUAACGCGUAGGUAACCUGCCUGGUAGCGGGGGAUAACUAUUGGAAACGAUAGCUAAUACCGCAUAACAGUAGAUAUUGCAUGAUAUCUGCUUGAAAGGUGCAAUUGCAUCACUACCAGAUGGACCUGCGUUGUAUUAGCUAGUUGGUGAGGUAACGGCUCACCAAGGCGACGAUACAUAGCCGACCUGAGAGGGUGAUCGGCCACACUGGGACUGAGACACGGCCCAGACUCCUACGGGAGGCAGCAGUAGGGAAUCUUCGGCAAUGGACGGAAGUCUGACCGAGCAACGCCGCGUGAGUGAAGAAGGUUUUCGGAUCGUAAAGCUCUGUUGUAAGAGAAGAACGAGUGUGAGAGUGGAAAGUUCACACUGUGGCGGUAUCUUACCAGAAAGGGACGGCUAACUACGUG